rnacentral:rRNA from 1 species
AACGAACGCUGGCGGCAUGCCUAACACAUGCAAGUCGAACGAGACCUUCGGGACUAGUGGCGCACGGGUGCGUAACGCGUGGGAACCUGCCCUUAGGUUCGGACUAACUCCCCGACAGGGGUGCUAAUACCGGAUAAUGUCUUCGGACCAAUGAUUUAUCGACUUUGGAUGGGCCCGCGUUGGAUUAGCUUGUUGGUAGGGUAAAAGCCUACCAAGGCGACGAUCCAUAGCUGGUCUGAGAGGAUGAUCAGCCACACUGGGACUGAGACACGGCCGAGAAUCCUACGGAAGGCAGCAGUGGGGGAUAUUGGACCACGGGCGAAAGCCUGAUCCAGCAAGGCCGCGAGAGUGAUGAAGGCCUUAGAGUUGAAAAGCUCUUUUAACCGGGAUGAUAAUGACAGUACCGGGAGAAUAAGCACCGGCUAACUCCGUG